rfam:Pongo abelii chromosome 12.
GCUGGGCGUGGUGGCACGUGCCUGUAGUCCCAGCUACUCGGGAGGCUGAAGCAAGAGAAUUGCUUGAAUCCGGGAUGCAGAGGUUGUAGUGAGCCGGGAUCAUGCCACUGCACCUAGCCUAUUUAUUUUUUUGAGAUGGAGUCUCGCUCUGUCGCCCAGGCUGGAGUGCAGUGGCAUGAUCUCGGCUCACUACAACCUCUGCCUCCCGGAUUCAAGCAAUUCUCCUGCCUCAG